GCGUUCGCAGAUACUGAUGCCAGCAUUUACACGCUCGAUGUUCAGUGCAUAUGUACACUAAAGCGUUGUUACCUGUAAACACGCCGAUUCAAAUGAUGAGUGAUUUUAUCGGGCAUUCGAACUGUUUUCCUGGGAUUUUCUCAUCUCGUUUCGUUUCACCUGCACCAUCGCGAGGAGCUCUCACAGAAGUGCAAGAACAUUUGGAUUAUCUGUAAAGUGUAACCAUAAUAUUGACUGUCGCACACUCUGAACGCCCGCAGCAGAUGUCAGUAAUCAUCAUUGAUUGGCGAAGCGCUGCACCUGCACGGGUUUGGAAGAAUGCCGAAGGUUGAUAUCUUCCUCAUUACAGGAUCUUUGUCUUCCAUCUACAAUACGAAAUGCUCCGCUUAUUAUUGGUUUUAAGCCGUACGCGAAUGUUUUGUUAAGCAAAGACAUUGAAUCGACUUGGAUGAACCGCUAUUGCUCGCGGAAAUUUGUUUAAUUUUCGAUCGCACAUUAAAUACGGCGUGAAUGGAAUGCAUGAUAUGCUGCAAAGAGGAGAAUGACGCGGUCUAAUGCUCGUGUGUUCAUUGGAAUAAGGAAUGCGCAAAGUAUACGAGCUUCAUCUGAACUGUCCCUUUCUUCUCUAAAAAAUAGAUAAUAUAAGGUACCAUUUAUUCAUGUAACAGGUUCUUGCAACGUCAUAUACCUGCUACGGUACUAUAAGGCAAGUUGCUUAAUGCCUAACAGUUAUUCAUGCAAACUGUACAGCUCAACGGCAAACAUUUACGUUAGAUCUUCACCCACCCGACCUAAUUACAGACUGUAAGGAUACGGGAAUACGCUAUUUUACGAACUUUAAAUCUUACGGUAGGACACACCAUUAAUAGCCUAUAUCAUUGGAGAAUAAAUCCUGGUCAUACAGCUUAAAGUUUUCAAGCCCACAUUUUUGCUGCUGAGCAAAUCGUAAGUGUGUGUGGUCGAAUGGCAACAGUAAUGCAUAUUGUCAAUUUUAUUGAGCACGGGGUUCAGCAUAAAUGUUUCUAUCUAAAGCUUUGCGCUUUAAGAUAUGCAGUUAUUUAUGUACAUGCAUAAAGUACGAAAACGCAUCAACUUAUAAUUGUACUUCUCAAAUGAGACUUUAUUCCAGAUCUCGGUAAAAUCCGAGCUCGGUCGCGUUGAACAUGCCAUCUAUUUAUCUGGAUUAUCUUCUCCUAAGGUAAGCUCUCUUAUUCAUUAUACUUGAUUGGCUGAUAUUGCACAUUACAUGCUUUUACAACCGAGAGAUGGCAAUGACCAUGUCUUACAGCACGGCAUGGAGACGGAGCUGAGGUUGUGUGGUGUAUUUAAUACAAUUAAAGGUGUAUUGUGUUAUGCUGCCUUCACGUGCUAUGGGAAAGAUGAAUUUUUUCUAUUUGUGAACUGGUAUUUACCAGCGUGUUGUGUUCAAGUGCUUUUCCAUUUGUGAACUAGAAUUUACCAGUUGGCUGCGUUCAAGUGCAUUUUCCAUUUGUGAACUGGUAUUUACCAUUGCUUUUGUUGUCAUUAGGAAAAUGAAAGAUGGACAUCCGGACCGUUAUAUUGGUAAAACAAUUUUAGAUUGCUUAGUUCAUCUGCUACAGCAAGAAGAUGAUUUAUUGAAACUGAAACGGUAAAUAAUACCAUUACCAUUACGUUCUGCUGCUCUCCGGCAUUUUGGAAAGGUUAAAGGUAAUCUCAUCUCAGCUACUCGGGCAUCAAAAUAUUUAAUGAGUUGCCCAGUGGAAAAUAACACAUGAGGGGUGUUCAUGUGCAUUUUCCAAGUGGGAUUUUGGUAUUUACCAUAAUUACGAUAGCAUGUGAAGGCUGCAUUAUUCCUGAGGACUUGCCGUUGUUUUGGUCGGUGUGCGUUCUGCGGAUGUCUCAACAAAAGUUGAGCCUGUACACCCUCAUGUUGAGUUUGUUUGUUAUGCAGUAGACCUCACUUAUAAAGUCGAAAAACGCGCGCCUUGCCUCUUUAAGAACAUGACAGGUUGCGUCAGUUUAAACCAUUUAAGCGCAUUGUGCUUGUUUGCAACGCAGGCACCUAGAGCAUGCGCAUGGGUAGGCUACAGCGGAUGUCUGGACACUGGUUUGAAGAUGUAAUGUGACUGCUAGCUUUUAAAUCACAGCACGUAAUUCAAAUUUUAAGUGCUGUUGAACGUGGGCAACGUAUGUUUCACCCGAAAUGGUGCUGCACCAGAUAUAACCACAGAAUACAAACACAUUUCCUUCUUGUUUUAACAUGGAACACAAUGGAAAUAAUGUCUAAAUAUUUCUCCGAGUGGUGUUAUGUCGAAUAUAGUGGUGUUCGAUUAUCUUAUGUGUUCCAACUAUUCAAUAAUAAUCGUCAUAUGCUGUUUUAAUGAAUUCCAACAUGACUGAAGAAUUGGAAUGCAUCUGAAAUAACUUGUUUCUAAUUGAAUUCUAUGUUCUGUUUAAAGCCUGGAAUACACCACAGGAUUUUUGCAUUCCAAGUUUGUAGCAGCAAACGCUUUGUACGGUGAUCAUGCUGAAUUUCUGACACUGUCAGAAAACUUGUAGGCUAUCUUGGACGCAAGACCAGGAAAACGUCAGUCUUUGAACUUCUCCCACCGUACGACACUGUACCACCGACGAAGAGCCACGAUCAUAGAAAUCAUGAUGGAAAUCUUUCGUCUGGGAAAGCCAAAAAUCAUGCAGUUAUGAUUCUAAAUGAUAACUUUACAAGAAACUUUGUCUGGAAUUAGAUGCGUACAAUCCACUUACUCUGCAUCCUCAAGAAAAUAGCGAAACAUGCAUCAACUUUCCAUAUAACCACAUUACACCGGCUGCUAGGAUUUAAACCAUUAUAACAGCACGGACCGGAUUCAUACAUGAGGCAAGCUAUUUUAAAACUAUAUACAUGUUUUUACACAGACUAUGGGCAUGCAGUUCUAUAAGUGCUUUAUUUUCAGUGCCUGCAAUACCAUCAGGGCUCUUUAUCUACUUCCAGGAACUCUAAUUGCAAACGCUGCAAGGAUUUGAACAUGCAUUAUUGCUACAUGUACAAGAAAUAAGCUUUCGUUAGUAUUGGGCCGUGCGCACUUGCGGCGUGCACGCAGGUUGUCACGUUUCAUGUCCGCGGUCAUGUGUGGUGCGGACAUCGAUCGUUUCUGGAAUGACAGUGUGGCGGAGGAUCUUCAUUUAACAAAUAAUUCAGAACUUCUUAAGUGCAUAUCAUGUAAGACUGUUAGCACAAACCUGUCACGUUUAAUCAUGCUAUUAUGGUUAGUUAAAGUUUAAGCUGUAAACUUUCAUCUAGAAGGCUAUUACUUUCGGAGUACGUCCAUCUAUCAACUGCACAAACCUACUGAUACCGCUCCUCAGUUUUUGGGGGGUCUUAAUUUACAUUGUAAAUGGAGAAUUUUAUAAUCAUCUGUGUGUCAUGGCGAAGCAGGCAAGACAAGGCAACGGAUCCAAAUGCAAUGGUUUAUUUCUUAAAACCCAAAAGUGCACAAAGCAGAACCAGAAUGAAGAGUAGAAUACAGGACUAAAAAGUGAUGACAGCAAACUAUACUUGACAAAGGACAACUGAAACACAAGGACUGUAUAUAUUCAUGUGGGUAAACAAGAUAACAAGUCACACCUGGGAAACAAUCUAGAACAAGGACCAACGAAAUACAAGAACUACAGACAUGGAUGACAUUACAGAACUUCAAUAAAGAGUACAAGACUGGGGAAACAAGACACGACAGUGACACCGUGCUAUCUUUAGCAUCAAUCAGAUUUGUUUGUAACCAUCUAAUCUUCUCCCUACUUUUAUAAUGACAAUAUAAAAGCAUGCAUACAUCAAUUGUCUCUCUUCAUCAGAAGCUGCGCUCCUAAUUUCAACGUGUGCAGGAAUUCAAUAUGACAUUCAAUUCAAUAAUGGCAAGCAAUAAUCAAGGUAUGUCUUAAACAAUUACUGGUGGUGGUGGCGUAUUCAACCAUGCUAUAUCAUGGCCUUUGCACCAUUUAUAUCAUUUCUCACUCUGGCAUAACGUUGCCUUCUGCGGCCUACGCGGCCUCUCUGCUAUCAAGCCUAACAAGGGUUUAAUUUCCGGCCUGCGCGGCCUCUAUGCUCUCAAGCCUAACGUGCCAGCCUUCUACGGAUAUCCUCUACUACUGACGUCACGGUCAACAUUUACAGACAUGUUAAUGGUAUGUAUCUUUUGUCAAUACUGGUGGUGGUGAAUCUUAUUGCAAGCUAAAAUGUUGGCUUUUCCUACUAGGCAUAUCGUUGCCUUCUACGGCCUACGCGGCCUAUCUAACCCUGGCAUAUCUUUGCCCUUCAUGGCCUACACAGCCUCUCUCGACACGGCAUAUUGUUGCCUUCUAUGGCCUAUGCGGCCUUUCCCACUCGGCAUAUCGUUGCCUUUUAUGGCCUACGCGGCCUAUCUCUAUCUGGCAUAUCGUUGCCUUUUAUGGCCUACGCGGCCUAUCUCUAUCUGGCAUAUCGUUGCCUUCUAUGGCCUACGCGGCCUAUCUCUAUCUGGCAUAUCGUUGCCUUCUAUGGCCUACGCGGCCUAUCUCUAUCUGGCAUAUCGUUGCCUUCUAUGGCCUACGCGGCAAUUUCUCUGGCAUAUCGUUGCCUUCCAAAGGCCUACGCGGCCUUUUCUCACUAGGCAUAUUGUUGCUUUCUAUGGCCUACGCGGCCUAUCUCUGUCUGGCAUAUUGUUGCCUUCUAAAGCCUACGCGGCUCUUCCCACUAGGCAUAUUGUUGCCUUCUAAAGCCUACGCGGGCUAUCUCUCAGCCUAUCUCUCCAGCCUAUCUCUCUCUGGCAUAUUGCUGCCUUCUACGGCCUAAGCAGCAAUCCCAUGGCCUCUUACGGCAUCCGUCAAUGUCAGUAGAUAACAAUUUGUCUUAUCUCUGUUUCAGGAACCUCUAAGAAACACUGGUGGGUACCGAUCAUCGUGAUCAAUUUUUGGGGAUUAGAUUCUGGCCUGUCUUCAUCUUCAGACAGGAACCGCAAGAAUCCGUGACCCCCGGAUUUGAACUAUGAUACUGAUGCCAGCAUUUACAACCCACCCUCCCUACCACCAUCACCAGGUCGGUUCCGUCCAUACUCGAGGGGGAUUAGAUUCUGGCCUGUCUUCAUCUUCAGACAGGAACCGCAAGAAUCCGUGACCCCCGGAUUUGAACUAUGGUCGGGGCCUACGCCAAAGAACUAUACUGUGUUAUAUUCCAGCCUUGGUUGCUAACUACUG